rnacentral:tRNA from 1 species
UUGGGUACAAAAUGUCACAGGUUCAAAUCCUGUCAUCCCUA